rnacentral:tRNA from 1 species
GUGAUAAGUAGCUCAGUUGGAAGAAAGAGCGCACUACAAAAGUGAGGUCGGUGGUUCGAGUCCACUCUUAUCACA